rnacentral:rRNA from 1 species
GGACCCGCACAAGCAGUGGAGCAUGUGGUUUAAUUCGACGCAACGCGAAGAACCUUACCAGCGUUUGACAUGAGAAGUGCCGGUUACAGAAUGGUAACCUUCAGUUCGGCUGGCUUCUACACAGGUGCUGCAUGGCUGUCGUCAGCUCGUGUCGUGAGAUGUUGGUUAAGUCCCGCAACGAGCGCAACCCUUAUCGUUAGUUACUAACAGUUCGGCUGAGGACUCUAGCGAAACUGCCGGUGAUAAGCCGGAGGAAGGUGGGGAUGACGUCAAGUCCUCAUGGCCCUUACACGCUGGGCUACACACGUGCUACAAUGGUUGGUACAGAGGGCCAGCUACCGGGUGACCGGAUGCG